CUGCUCGACCCUGCUUCAGGUGUCGCGACUCCGCCAUGGGUCGCGGUGAAACGGGAAGCCGGUCCAAGUCCGGCACUGCCCCCGCAACGGUAGACGAGCGCAGGAUCACGAUGCCACCCGGCCGGCAAGCUUGGGGAAGGCGAUCCUGGUAGUCGUACGGGAAUGCGAUCUUGAGCGAGCCCGCGCACGGCAAGACGAAACCUUCGUAGCAAGCGUCAUUUACAGGGUGUAGAUGAGUCUUGCGGAGAAGGAUUCGACAACGCCGGGCCGAGCGCAGCCAGCCCGCCCCCACAAGACCCUCGUGAGUCCGGAGACCGGCCUGUCGCCUUCAAGCAAC
rnacentral:ncRNA from 1 species